CAGCCGCCGCGGGAAUACGAAGGGGGCUAGCGUUGUUCGGAUUUACUGGGCGUAAAGGGCGCGUAGGCGGGCGAAUAAGUCAGGGGUGAAAUCCCAAGGCUCAACCUUGGAACUGUCUUUGAUACUGUUUGUCUUGAGUUCGAGAGAGGUAAGUGGAACUGCGAGUGCAGAGGUGAAAUUCGUAGAUAUUCGCAAGAACACCAGUGGCGAAGGCGGCUUACUGGCUCGAAACUGACGCUGAGGCGCGAAAGCGUGGGGAGCAAACAGGAUUAGAGACCCCCGUAGUCCCUGUCUCUUAUAC
rnacentral:rRNA from 1 species